GCUCCAGAGUGGGAUUUUCCACAUGUGUUGUUAUGUCCACACUCCCAAAGUUUGGGAUUUGGGGCCACUCUGGAUUUUGGAUUGGGGAUACUCAUCCUGUGUCCUAAACCCAGGGGGAGGGAACAGCCCUCUGCAGAGUGGGGUGGGCCCAGAAGGCUGGGUGGUCGCCUUGGUCCCCUCCCCUGCCCUUCCUGGCAUUUCUCACCUUUCCACCCUUUCUGCCCUCGAGCUCCUGGGAAACCGGAAGGCCCGGGGUAGCCCACACGUCCUUCUGCUCCUUUAAGGCCAAACAGGUAACCUAAGGAGAAGACACGCAGAGUCAGGCACCUUGGCACAUUACGCCUGCAGCAGGGGUGCAGAGCACAGACAAAAAUACUGAGAGAUACUGAGUCCAAGAAAGUGUUUGGUUUUACAGCCAUGUCACUUGGGUUCCAAGAUUUCCACCCCUUCUAGUCCAUGUGAAGGCCCCUCUAAGUACCCCGUAGAUAGGAUGAUCUGGGUUCCCCUCGCCCUUCUCCUGGGUGGGUGCACAAGUGCUACCCCACCAUCAUUCCUCUGUGCCCGUUAACUCACACGCCUCCCCGCGGAGGUAGUGUCAUAAUGUGGGUCCCUCAUGACCAGUUGGGACUAGGUGUGGUCAUUCUCCCUGACUGACUCUGACCAGCCCAUAACACCAUCAAUCAGGGUCAGGGUUCCUCUAAAUCACUGUGGCCGCAGCGCCCCAACACCCAAGCAGGGCUAGCAGUGGAGGUGUGAGUCCAUCUACUCUGGAUCCCAAGAUAGCUAUGCUUACAGAAGAGUGCCACCUUGUGGUGACACAGGUCGGUACACCUCCAGGAGACUGGCUGGUGGACCCUGCUGGGUUUUGCUCCCUUGCUAAGACUAAGUAUUUGUCCAGGUUCCAAGGAGUGAACAAGUCCCCAAGACACUAGAGGGUGUGUUGCCACACACACCUGUGCACCCACGAGGAGAAGGCCAUUCAGCAAGCAGGAAGGAGAGGAAAACACCAAUUUUAAAGAGUUUUGCCAUGUGGUGGGAAAAAUGGCACCAGGAUUCCAGGGUCAGAGAGCUUCUUGCCCAGUGCCGGAGUCAAGCCAGCGUGUCCAGGAGCUACGGCACAUGGGGACACAGCCCGCAUGUACCGGCAGCUGACACGCAGUACGUGAUGUAGUGAACCAGCCAACAUAGACUUCCAGGAAGAAGUUCACCAUGGUGGUCGCAUCACGGGGUCACAGGAUGGAUCAGAGCUUCCUGGAGUCGAGACGUCAUUCCUCAUUACAGGCUUCCUCUGGUACAGUCCCCGACCCCAGGACAGUGCAGCCUGAGGCCCUGAGGACUUGAUGGGACUCUUUCACAGGAGAUUCGAAUCUCUGCAGCCGUGUUGCUGGGUGCUCCAGGAGAGGCGGACCGUCUGCUUCCCACUGCAGACCUGCGGUUCCCGCCGGGAGGACUCACACGAGGUAGAGCUGAGGCUCCGAAAGCGGUCAGUUUCAUGAUUUUCAAGGGCAGAAUAACCCACAUUAGGGAAAGUCAUUAGGCAGAAGUCCUCAGGGACUGGCAGAAACAAGCUCCUGAAGGAGUUUGUUAUGACAGGCCUCUUCCAAAGAGACCCUGAUGCUCCGGUAAACUGCCUCCCGCAGUCUAAACAGGCUCAGUGGGCGCCUUCCCAGGUCGGCGGCCCAGGGAGCGUGGGUUAGGCCAGACGGAACUCACAGGGCCCCAGGAGGUGUGUCCACCCCCGUCAGUCUGAAGGCCAGCGGACUGUGGUGCGGAACCGCAGGCGGCAGUAGCUGGAGAGCCGGGAUGACGCUCUUGAGCGGGUACCUGGUAAGCUGGUGCCCUGCUGCCCACGGUGGGAAAAGGGACAUCCUGGACUCCCAGACAGUUCUGAUCCAGGUCUCAUGGUCCUGCUGACGUGAGGCCGUGAGGGGGCUUCUGCCAACACUACCGGCAGCUGUCAUUGGCUGGUGUCCCUCCAGGGUCUCAGGUCCUGGUGAGCGCUUUUUAGGAUAACUCUAGUGUGAAAAGCCUUUACUCAGUUACUAAGUUUGCCAUAGAAAAAGGAGGGAGACCAUCUCGAAUUGCUCAGAAAAGUUAACACAACCCGGAAAAGUCAACUUCUCCCAUCCCCUGGAGAAGGUUCAGACUAACCAAAGCUCUGUGAUGGCAGUGGGGGUUGAUGGCUUUGGUGUCAUGCAGGGAGCCCACAUCUUCCCAGAAUGCAUUUCUCCCUUGGUCCCCUGCUUUGAUGCGUGGUAUUUGUUAGCGUCCACUGCUGUUCCUUGGAGUGGCUUCUGGCUUCUUGCUCUUUGUUAUUGCAUAAGACCAAACCAUGAACACAAGAUCAGGGUGACCUGGGGAGGCGCGAGUGCUGCAUAGACACCCGGCCACCUGGCCUGCAGUGCAGCCUCUAUAUACAUUUUUACAGCGGAGUAAACUAUUCCUACAAUCCACUUAGCCACAGACGUCUGCAUCUUACCAUGUCACAGCAACUGCAGAGAGGAAGCAGGAAGGGUGGUCAGCCUUCCUCAUGCCUGACCAUGUAGGUGGCCAGGGCCUGCUGGGCCUCUUAUGGCUCAUGGACUUCUGGGUUCUAGGGGCAGCUAUGUCAAAUCACCUUUUGAAACAACUCAAUUCCUAUGUGUUGGGUGCAGAAGAACCGAUCAUAACUGUGAUUUCACUAGCAUGUGGUAGGCAACCUGGGAACUGGCAGUGACCUCUGAAGACAGGGGUGGGCAGGGUGGGAUAUGGAGGCCUGCUUUGGCCUCCAUCUCUUUGCCAGCCUCAUCCCUUGCAGCCCUUUGGCUGUAAGCUGACCUUUGGUCCUGUGGUUGGCUGUAGCAUGGACAGCUGUUGCCCUGGAGUGAAUGAAUACUGAAAGUAAAUAGAGAAACUAGCUCUAUAUGUUCUUUCUCGUAUGAUCUAGUGUUUACGAUUUUAAACCUGGUCCAGAAUCAUAGUACAUUUUUCACAUAACAUUUCCCCCUAAAAACCUGCCUACCAAACACAUGAUAAAAAUAACUGUUUGGGUUAUCAUUGAACAUAAAACAUCAAAGUGUGUGUUGAUCUAUAAAAAAUAUAUCAACCUCGGGGACUGAGCUGACAGCCUUCCUAAGAGUGACAACGAUGAUGUGGAAGGGUAUGAGGUCCAGGGAGGCAGCCAAGCAAUGAAAGUCUUGGGGGAGGGAUCAGUGGGAAGAACUGAGAGGCUGAUUUGCAAGAAAAACCCCAAGAAAAAUGGCAAAAAAUCUAAGUUUUGUGAGUGAAAGGCUUAUUUAUGCUACUGUCAAUGCAGGGAAAGAUGCUGCCUCUGGGGCCAACGUUCUUUUCUGCAAUGCCGUGCUUAUUUGAAGGGCCUUUGUAAGAGAUCUCAGGUCUAGAGCAGACUGUUUGACGCAGCAAACUUACUUUCUGUCCUGGGGAUCCUUUCUCUCCAUCGAAGCCAGAAGGACCCUGGGUUGAACAGAAAACAACGAUUAACAGCUCAGAACAUGAAACAGAAAUUUCUAGAGGUUGAUAUUUUGGUACUCGAGGAGGAUCAAAACAACCAAAUUCCACACCGAGAACAAACCACCAAAUAUGAUUCUCCCUGCUUCAGAAGGGGUGGGGUUGUGCAGAGAUCUGACCACGGUAAGACGGGAAAAGGGACAGAGUCACCACUUAGAGGAGCAAGCUGCCCUUCCUGUGAGAGUCCCCAAACCACCUGGAGUCCUGCUUUCUAAAGGGGAGGGCAUGCUGGCAACACCUUCAUCCAACGCACCACUUCUGCUGCUUAAGGAAACAUGGAAGCACCCACAGAGGUGGCACAGUGAAUACAGAAGACUCCUGUACCCAGUGUUCCGCAAGUCUCCUCUUACUCAGAGACCAAGUCUUCUUCAUGGUAACGACUGCCAGAUAACCAGCAAGACCCUCCUUCUCUUCUCACUGGGCCAGGACUCUCACCACACUUCCCUACCUGUGACUGAACCUGGAGGCGGCCAGGGGCUUUCAGGAUGCUGCUCUGAAGGUGGUAUCCACACCUCCUGCAGGAUCCUCUACCAGGGACAUUCUUUCUUCUUCUUUUUCUUUUUUUGGCGGGGGCGGGGGGUACUGGGGAUUGAACCCCAGGGGGGCUUAACCACUGAAACAUAUCCUCAGUCCUUAUAUUCAUUUUUUAGAUUUUGAGACAGGGUCUUGCUGAGUGCUUAGGAUCUCACUAAGUUGCUAGGGCUGGUCUCGAAUCUGAGGUCCUCCUGUCUCAGGCUCCUAGCUGCUAGGAUCGCAGGCCUGCACACAGCACCAGUGACUUUGUCUUUUGUAGUGCUGGGAUGGAACGCAUGCUGGGCCAGCACGUACCUCUGAAUUCCAUUCCCUGUUAUAUUUGUUUUGAGAUAGGGUCUUUGAUGAGUUGCCCAGGCUAGCCUUGAACUUGUGAUCCUCCUGCCUCACUUCCCCAGUAACUGAGAUCACAGGUAUGUGCCACCACACCUGGCACUAGGGACAUUCUCGUUGUACUCCUGGGGCAAUCAGAAAUCAAUCUGUGUUCCACGCACUACAUUUUUGGUUAUCAAAGACUAGAUGAGCCUAAAAUGAGCACAAUGUCUGGGUUUGGUCCCCUCCCUCCAGGUGGGGUGCACAGUUUCAGCAGCUCCAGUGUUGGGUGAAGGUGAAGGGUGGCUGGGGGGUGAGGGGCUGCAGAGAUGACCGUCCUGGAGCAGGGUGUCCAGGGAGGAGGCCGUGUGGGGGGCAUCAGAACAAUGGUAACACACUGCGCUUUCUGCUCACUUUUCUUUCUCUUCCUUUUUUUUUAAAAAUAUUUUUUAGCUACACGUGGACACAGUAUCUUUAUUUUGUUUAUUCAUUUGUUAUGUGGUGCUGAGGAUUAAACCCAGUGCCACACAUGUGCAAGGCAAGUGCUCUGCUACUGAGCCACAACCCCAGCCCCUGCUCACUUUUCUUAUGAGCCUAAAACUGCUCUAGAAAAAUAAAGUCUAUUCAAAAAGCCAAAUAGAUAGUCAUUCUCAGUUAUAAAACUCAGCUCACCCGUGGUCCUGAAAAGCCGACGAUGCCUUCCUCUCCCUUCACGGAGAUGCCCUAAGAGAGAGCAGAGUAGCAUGAAGGGCUGCCCUUCCCAGCCCCAGUGCCCCACAUCCUCCAUGACAUGAGGGUGCUGGGAAAGCCCCCCAGUGUGCCUGGAUGACACGAGGUAGGCUGGUAGGAUGAGCGAGAGGGCAGAGACCCCUCACCCAGACGGAGGCCAGCCCACCACCUCCCAGCCCCACCUGCAGCCCACACAUCUGCCUUAGAACUUCAAAUAAGGUUGACUGGCCAGGGCUUGUCAUGCAAAAGGAGGGCGCUCUAAAAACAUUUUCUGGAAAACCAGAGUGUGACGAUAAAUACUCCCUCCUUGCCUAGACAAGCUGAAGCCAACCCAAGAGCACAGGGCUGUCAAGACCGGCUCACUCCACCUGUCAGCAGGAGCCCGGGACCUAAGGGAGAAAGGCACUGGCCACCGAGCCGGCCACCGAGCUUACCUUUAUGCCCGGCUCCCCUCGGCUCCCCUUUUCGCCCUGCAGAGUGUGUGAAGAAGAAGAAAUGCGCAUUGAUUUGUGAACAGCAAUAUCUGACACUUGAUCAGGAAUAUGAAGUAAAGAGUCUUUAGUAAAACUUUAAACCAUUACUACAAAUGAACUAUAGCCACUAAUUCCCUGAAUUUGCAGCUUCAAAAAUCAAAUGGAAACAAAAGUGUUAGUUUAGAUUUUUUUUUAAAAAAUGUUUUUUGGUUGUGGAUGGACACAAUAUUUUAUUUAUUUAUUUAUUUUGCAUGGUGCUGAGGAUCCAACCCAGUGCCUCACACAGGCAAGUGCUCCGCCACCAAGCCCUCGUCCCAGCCCCAUUGUUCUAGACUUUUACAAGAUAAAUCAAAUCAUGUGUGGUUCCCGACACGACUGAAAGGUGGUCUCUCUCCCAUCCAUGAGGUUUCCUCUGUCACUCACGAGUUACAGGUGUCUCAGCAUCUGUGCCAGUGUCACCCUCCACGCCUCAGUGGUGCAGUGGGUGGGACACUCAGAGAGGAGCCCCCGGAUGGCAUUCAUUUGAAUGAGGCAGAACCAGGAAGGUCCCCGAGGAAAAGAUGUGCUUGGAACAUGUUAAAAGCUCAAGCAAAAGUGGCUUUAGGAAGCAGCACUGAUUUUUGUUUCACUCUUUUUGACUGGCGAGGUCCUUGGUCCCUGGGUCGCCUGACACUUGGGCUCCUGUAGCUCAGACUGCCCCCUGCAGGCCGGCUUGGAACCCACCCCCUCUUCUUGGACGGUUGAGCCCCUCAGCUUGGCGUGGACCUGCCUGGUCCCUCCUCUGCAGUUGGGUCUAACUGCACACAGACCUGCCCACCACCUCCAGGCCACGUUUGUCAAUGGUCACUUAUAAGUGCCCGGGGCCACAGCUGGCUAGAUUGGUUCCUUCCUGCAGUCAUGGCCCUGCUUGCCAAUCUCACCUAUGACCCAGGACCCAGACCUCCUCACGUUGCGAGGGAGUUGGGGACUAACCCCUUGCACGGGGCCUCCUUGCUCGCUCCAGCUUCCUGGCCGCAGUGAGCCCAUCUCCCCCUGACCCAGACAGGCAGGCCCAGAGAGUCCUGCCUGAGCCAGGGCACCAGGGAGGGCAGAACCGGAGUGUGCUUUUAGCCCCACAAGAUGCUAACAGAAGUAAAGGGAAGGCAUCGUAAACUGAUUCAAAAGAAAAGGUGCUUCAGCCGAGCUAAGAAGAAAGGAGGUUUCAUUGGUGUAAUAUGACCUUUUGCUCAGAUGGAUCUGUGAUCCUGGCUUUGAAUCACGCUAUGGCCAUCAGCCUGCGUCUACAUCCCACACCUAAGGAGAGACCUGUUUCCUCAGGGGGUUCUCAUGUGGCUUUGCAUCCGCAAUCGUUUGAGAUGCAGGGUGAAGCUGUUUCUCUGUGGGCCUGGUAACUGCCUGGGCGCCACAAGGGCAUUGGGAGGGCCUGGCGGCGAGGCCUUCCCUACGUGGGAAGGGACUGAAUGCAGUUGGGGGAAGUUGCCUUUCCCCCUCUCUUUUUCUCUGGUGCCACUGGGAAAGCAGUCACCCUCUUUACCUUGUACUGAUCUGGGUGGAUGGUCGUCCUGGUGGGCCCCACGAUGGGGUGGAGGGUGUCUGACGGGAUCCCGUUGGGUCCUGGGAGUCCUACGUCGCCCUGAGUGUUCAGCAAGGGAAGUCAUUGUGAAUUGAAAGAAGAGCCGGAAGCUUGAACGGCAGUACAACCCACCACAACACUGCUUUUGAUUUUUGCAUGUUGCCACCUGUAUACCUACUUUUCAGUACAAUGAUCCUAAAAUAAAAUGAUCACAACAGCAUAAUCCUAAAAUGAAAUUCUUUUUGUCCCACUUUCACAAGUAGUUGUUUGGCAUCUAUGCAUCAGAACUGCGUGGACUGUCAGGUUGCGGACUGCAUUCCCUUCUCUGGAAUUCCCUUCUUGUGAUGAACUUCUGCACAUGGAAACUACUAGGUCUGAGGGAUAACGUCUUGAGGGCUCCUGAUGUCAGCCACUACUGCUUGCCAAGACGACCCCAAGAUAUAAGAAAUGCCUGAAAAAUGGAAGGCUAGUCCAGUCUUACCACUACCUCACCAGCUAAGGGUGUUUUUAUGUAAUAAAAAGCUGUCUCAAAUAAAUCUAUCAUCUCAAGUUUGAGCCUAGUGAUCACCAAUAGAAACACCAGCAAACUGAAAUGCUGUAUCAGCUGUCAAGAGCAGCACCCUACAAUGAAUUCUGAACAUCCACUAACGUGUCUUUUAAAUACUGAAAACUAUCCCUCUCCUUGGUCUACUGGGACCUUGGUAUUGUCACUAGUGAUCUGAAUCAGCCCUCUGUAAGUUACAGACAUUCAGUUCAUUUCCACUGUAUCUAAUGACCAUUCUCUCCUUCCAUUAAUGAUUUAUUCCCAUAUUUCUCUUCUUUUAUUUUAAUAUUGGCAUAUAUUUCAGCAUGUGGGAAGCAGUCCCAUUUUGUUUGCUCUAUUUUUGUGUGUUUGGAAAUUUAAUGUUUUUCCUUUGAGAUUUCUUUCAUGCUCUUCAUGCAAAGACCCACGUCUUCACGUCUGAGCAGCACUUAGUUCCACUCAGUGGCAGCUCAGCCCAAAGCAGAAUGGAGACAGAGUGGCCCUGCUCACACAGCCAGGACCCAGAAGAAGAAACCCAAAACCUGCCUAUGUGCACGGCACUGAGCCACAGGACCUGCAGAGGACUCGGGCUGCGGCUCCCAGGGGCCGACUGACUGUCAGGUCCUCUGACUGGGCCUCAGGGAUCGGAGCUGAGGCUGGCGGCACCUUUGGACCCUCUCUCGGAGCCCACUGCCUCUCCAGGGGAGACCAGCCCCUUCAUUCCCUCCAUUCCCUAUUUGAAGGUCACUCUUUUUCCCAUUUUGAUAAAAAUCAUUCUCAUUUCAUAUAAGCAUUUCCUAUCUUUUUAGGGGAUUUAAAAUCACUCUAAAUGUAAUGGUUAAGGUGACUCUUAGUGUUGGCCAACUUUCACCCUCCUUUGCCCAAGAGGCAGAAAUCGGGCCCUGAGCCAGCCCCAAAGUGGAGCAGCCUGGUGGGGAACCGGCCCACCCCGGUGUGGGAGCGGAAACGUGAGAGGCUGCCCAGAGUCCCCACACAGAGAGACCAGCUCUCUCCUGUCCCUCCCAAACAGCUGUGCCUCAUUCCCAGGGUCUCCAUCUUCCCACAGUGAGAAGGGUCAUGCGGAGCCCUCUCUGGUCUUCCUCUCUGCAGUCUACCGUCCACCCCUCCCAUGCCCAGAGCUUUUCUGAAAAUGAAAACCAAGCCUUUAAUUAAUUUUUGCUCUUUGCUUCUUUCCCACCUGGCUGGGAGCUGAAAUCAAAGCACAGAAAAGCAGCCUGGCUAGAUCAGAAGGCCAUUUGAGUACCCUGCGGUCUUCUCUGCCUCCUGGGCUGGCUGUCAAAGUCACCAGGAAGUGACCUGGCUGGGGUGAGGAUUUGGGUCCCAUGGUCCUCUCUGCCUCCUGGGCUGGCUGUCAAAGUCACCAGGAAGUGACCUGGCUGGGGUGAGGAUUUGGGUCCCAUGGUCCUCUCUGCCUCCUGGCUGGCUGUCAAAGUCUCCAGGAUGUGAGGUGGUGGGGUGAAGAGGGCUGCCUGUCUGCUGUGGCCAGUGCAGAUCUAGGCCUGCUGGGCUUGGUGGCUGCUGCUUCUCUGGCCACCCCACCAGCUUCUGCUGCUGCUGCUGCUCUUGGCCUGGGGCCUCCCACCCUGCUCUUGGCCCGGUAGGCAGGCGAGUCCAGUAGCUCAGUGAGUACCAGCUGCAGCCAAGUCUUGUCAGAGGUGAUGGGAGAUUGGGGGGCAGGAGGGGGUGUGGCUGUUGUGUCACCAGGUGACAUGGAAACGGGACUUCAGGUGGAGCUGGCAUGGGACAGUGAGGGAUGGCAGCCCUUAUCUGGAGGGGAGGCAGUGGUGGCUCCUGGAGGUCCCCCACAGUGCCAGUGGGGGUCUCUGAUGGGGCGAGUCUGACCAACGCUUCCCUCAUCACCCUGGUCAGUGCGGAGGCUCGCCCAGCUCUCCCAGGUCAACGAACCCUGGCUCUGUUCUCCACGCUUCUGACAAACCACCUAGUUGGUUGUGCUUCUACCAACUUAAAAUCCUGUUGUGAGGAACACAGGAUGGCAAGGGCUCCGCUGACCUGGGGAGCACUGGGCACAUACGUCCCUAGAGCCCACUCAGACUCCAGAGACAAGCGUCCCCGGCCUCCCACAGUGCACAUGGCUACGACCUUCCCACUCCCCCAAAUCAGCCCUGAAGACAACUUGAGCUGCCCCUAGGCUGUACUGUGGCGUGAUUGCUGACCCGUAGCCAUCAGGGUGACUUUCACAGGGUAUCAGGAAUGUGCUGACCGACCAGCACACAACAGACCAUUCACAUUCUUCACCUGCGGAACCGUCCCAGGACCCCUGCUGCCCCACAGGAUCUGUGCUCACAGUUGAACCUAGAGUCUUAAAAACCUGCGUAUUUACUUUUAUCAUAAUCUAAACAGUAAUAGUUGUCAACCAAGUGUCUUAUGGCGAACACACCCACAACCUGAGCCCUCCCUUGUCCUGGUCCCCCAAAACUUACUGGCUGUCCUUUGGGUCCAGGGGGUCCGGGUGGUCCCUGCACAAAUAAAAAGACAUCUGUGAACUGGUUUCUUUAUCCUAGGACCCAAACAACCUUUGCUGGGAGCUAUGUUCAUAAGAGUGACUCUUCCCAAACAUCCUCAUCUCCCUUUCUCCCAGUCUCUGCCAGGGAGCAUCUCGACGCUCGUCUUUGGCUGGAGGACGGUUUCCUGUGAGAAGGUCUCCUUCACUGCAGGAACCCUCCCCUUGUCUGGUCGAGGCCUGAGUGUCUUACUGCUAAAAGACCAGGACGUGGGAAAGUCGGAGACCCCUCGGGGUGGCCAGAUGUCCUGUGGGCCCCACGUGCAGCGGUGCAGCAGCCUCCUGGCUGUCUUACCUGAGCUGCAGGAGGGAGUAACGUUGACCCCCACUCAGAGGGCCAUGGCCAUUUGGCUAAUGACAUCCAGCAUCCUGCCUCUGCGAUGGCCAUGGCCAGGUGUGACAGACCUUCCGCACCAGGCCUGGCCCGGGAAGAGCCCAUCUCCUCUUUAGUGACCUGUGGGACUUUGGUCCACUUUGCCCACAGAUGACAGGUCCUUUGUUACAUGGUAGGCAUGGGGCUGGGAGAAUUUAUGUGCCAACGGAAGGGCACCGAUGGGAACCAGGUCCAAAUCAUCUGACAUGGUCGGCAAUGAACCAGAGGCCACAGACUUUGAGUCCUUAUUCUUAAACCUCAACAGUAGCAAAACAUAUGCAAAAAAUGCCCUGCUCUGUGUUGGUGACUUCUAAGGUGACAGGUGCUGCAGGAUCCAUGAAGCAUUUCUCUAUGGGCAUUUCAACAAGUGGCCUCUGGGGGUGACUGGACAGAGGACUGGGUGGGAGCCUGCAAGAGGGACUUACCGGUCUUCCAGGGGCUCCAACUGGACCCAUGGGCCCCACAGGUCCAGGGCGGCCAGGAGGACCCUGUGAACAACAAGAGGGUGUUUUGAAGAGACCAGCUGUGUGUGGAGGCUGGACGUUCUUAGAGCUGUGCUUGGAAUCCUCUCUAAUAAAAACAAAAUUUACCUGGAAUCCGACCAGUCCAGGCUCCCCAGGUUCACCCUGUUUGAGAGGAAAUGAUGUUUCACUGUUCAGCACUAUUACAUUGUUUCAUAUCACUACAGAGCUAGAGCACAUAGCUGGAGGGUGCAGGACUCAGGGACCGCCACUCCCCGGACAGCCCAGGGCGUGGGGUACAG